rnacentral:tRNA from 1 species
GGGCAUAUAGCUCAGUAGUAGAGUGUGUGCUUAGUAUGCACGAGGUCCUGGGUUCAAUCCUCAGUACCUCCA